rnacentral:rRNA from 1 species
GAGGAGGAGCCCGCGCACGAUUAGCUAGUUGGUAGGGUAACGGCCUACCAAGGCUAUGAUCGUUAGCUGGUCUGAGAGGAUGGCCAGCCACACUGGAACUGAGACACGGUCCAGACUCCUACGGGAGGCAGCAGUGGGGAAUCUUGCACAAUGGGCGAAAGCCUGAUGCAGCGACGCCGCGUGGGGGAUGAAGCUUCUCGGAGUGUAAACCCCUUUCGACCCGGACGAAUGCCCCGCAAGGGGACUGACGGUACGGGUAUAAGAAGCCCCGGCUAACUACGUGCCAGCAGCCGCGGUAAGACGUAGGGGGCCAGCGUUGCUCGGAAUUACUGGGUGUAAAGGGUUCGUAGGCGGUGUGGCAAGUCGGGAGUGAAAUCUCUGGGCUCAACCCAGAGUCUGCUUCCGAAACUGCUGUGCUUGAGUGUGGGAGAGGCGCGUGGAAUUGCAGUGUAGCGGUGAAAUGCGUAGAUAUCUGCAGGAACACCCGUGGCGAAAGCGGCGCGCUGGACCACUACUGACGCUGAGGAACGAAAGCUAGGGGAGCAAACAGGAUUAGAUACCCUGGUAGUCCUAGCCCUAAACGAUCAGGACUUGGGGUGCCACCCGUUCGGGUGUCGUCCCGGAGCUAACGCGUUAAGUCCUGCACCUGGGGAGUACGGUCGCAAGACUGAAACUCAAAGGAAUUGACGGGGGCCCGCACAAGCGGUGGAACAUGUGGUUCAAUUCGACGCUACGCGAGGAACCUUACCUGGGCUCGAAAUGCUUCUGACAAGCUGUAGAAAUACGGCCUUCCCGCAAGGGACAGGAGUAUAGGCGCUGCAUGGCUGUCGUCAGCUCGUGCCGUGAGGUGUUGGGUUAAGUCCCGCAACGAGCGCAACCCUUGUCCUGUGUUGGCAUGCCGCAAGGCGCAACUCGCAGGAGACCGCC